rnacentral:rRNA from 1 species
UACGUAGGGUGCAAGCGCUGUCCGGAAUUAUUGGGCGUAAAGAGCUCGUAGGCGGUGUGUCGCGUCGGCCGUGAAAACCUGCAGCUUAACUGUGGGCUUGCGGUCGAUACGGGCAUCACUGGAGUUCGGCAGGGGAGACUGGAAUUCCUGGUGUAGCGGUGAAAUGCGCAGAUAUCAGGAGGAACACCGGUGGCGAAGGCGGGUCUCUGGGCCGAUACUGACGCUGAGGAGCGAAAGCGUGGGGAGCGAACAGG